rnacentral:rRNA from 1 species
CAUGCAGGCGGUUAUACAAGUAGGACGUGAAAGCCUGGGGCUCAACCUCAGAACUGCAUUCUAAACUGUGUGACUAGAGUAUUGCAGGGGGAGACGGAAUUUCAGGUGUAGCGGUGGAAUGCGUAGAUAUCUGAAAGAACACCAAAGGCGAAGGCAGUCUCCUGGGCAAAUACUGACGCUCAUAUGCGAAAGCGUGGGUAGCAAACA